AUUGAACGCUGGCGGCAGGCCUAACACAUGCAAGUCGAGCGGAGCGGCGGACGGGUGAGUAAUGUCUGGGAAACUGCCUGAUGGAGGGGGAUAACUACUGGAAACGUUAGCUAAUACCGCAUAAUAUCAGAUGAGCCUAGGUCGGAUUAGCUAGUUGGGGGGGUAAAGGCCUACCAGGGCGACGAUCCGUAACUGGUCUGAGAGAAUGAUUAGUCACACUGGAACUGAGACACGGUCCAGACUCCUACGGGAGGCAGCAGUGGGGAAUAUUGGACAAUGGGCGAAAGCCUGAUCCAGCCAUGCCGCGUGUGUGAAGAAGGUCUUCGGAUUGUAAAGCACUUUAAGUUGGGAGGCGUUACCAACAGAAUAAGCACCGGCUAACUUCGUGCCAGCAGCCGCGGUAAUUC
rnacentral:rRNA from 1 species